GGAUCUGGCAAAGACAGAAUCAGUACAAUGACUGAGCAAUCUUUUCAUGAGAUUUAUGAUCCACCCAGGUCCAAGCCAAAGCAGGGAAGCAGGAGGGAGUUUGUAUCCUCCUGUGGACAAAGAAGAGAUGAGCCUCCUUGUUGACAGGCUGACCUUCCCAGGAUCCUUAAACUGCCUGAAGCACAGUCUGCUGCAGGGAGAGGUGCACGCUUCCUCCUUGGGUCUCGGAUCAGGUGGGGAUAAAAGUUAUUGCUGCAGUUCCGUCACCAGCAUUAGAGGAAGCUCGGUGGAUGAGGUACAAUCCAAGAAUGAGACUCAUUUUUCAUCUACCAAGCGUUAUGGGAUGAAGCACCAAGUCAUUAGAAAUGGAUUUUCCAUUCUGCAUCUUUUAAUGAGGAGAUUGAAGAAUAGACAUAUGGAGAAGCUUGCUAAUGGCAAUCCUGUGUGUAAGUGGGGAGCUAGAUUUCCAACCUAGAUCUGUCUGACUCCAAAAGCUGUGCUCUUUCUUCCCUGACCCUUGGUUUUCCAGUGCAUAUUUUCUUAGAAAAAAAGGCCAAAUGUCAGUAAAAUUCCAUUAUAAGUUAUAUUUUCCACUAUAAGUCAAUAUUUUCUAUGAUGUAAAUUUCUGUAAGUGCCCAAUUUUUGUAGGUACCUCAGACACUUAGCUAGUGUGGUAAAUAUUUCAACAUCAAAUUGAUAAUAAAGGCACAUCUCUAUUAGUUUCUCAACAUUUGGACAAAAAGAAACCUUAUAAAGUUUUAUUUUCACUCUCAACCAAUAAUGUCAUUCCUAUUCCCUAUGUUGUAUUUGAAACUAUUCCUCAACUGUGGUUGAUCCCUGGACAACUCUUUUGGUCCAUCUCAUGACCAACUUUGCACACACACAAUUUCUUGUGUUGCUAUUAUCUGCUGGAAUGAGGCAAUGGUCCUCCCUUGAGCCCACUAGGUUAUCAAAAAGAGAUAUACUCUGGUAGCAAGUUAGAUGCACAUCAAUUUGGGGAAAAUGGUAGUAAUAAUGAUAACGCAAAAAUAAAGUAGCUCCUGUUUUGUGUACUUAUUAGGUGCUGGAUACUUUGCAUGCAUCAUUUCAUUUAAUCCUCUCUACAGAUCAAUAGGGCAGAUAUUGUGAUCAAUAUUUUACAAAUGGAAACUAUAACCCAGAGAGUUUAAGCAACUUGCUCAAACUUGUCAUGAGCUAGGGAGCUUAUAGAACUGGGAUUUGAACACUAGGUUUAAGAGCAUGCUUGUCAUGUUUCUGAAGUUGCCUGAUGGAUAAAUAAUUCUAUAAGUUCUUCCGUGCUAUCCUUUGGAAACAAGAUGGGCUGUUGAAUCGUAAAGUCGGAUGAAGUUUUAACUGUUGCUGUGACUGACCUAAAGAGGAUUUGCCUCCACCAAUGCUACCCUGGAGGGAGGUCCCAACUAGGGUCCCAAAGGUAUGGAACCUCCUGGAGUAGUUGGAGCUCACACUGAUAUAGGAAUCUGAUAAAAAAUAAAUUGAUGCUUCUUGUAUUUUGGUCAAGACUUACUGCUGUGACUUGUUCCCAUGAACCAACAUCCUCUUGUGAAGGAAGGGCCAAAGUUUCCUUUAUUCCCAAGAGAACUGAUUACAGUGACUGUUUCUAUUUUGGUAAGUUAUAUAAACAUGUUUCGGUGAGAGCAAAAAAAAGCAUAGCAUGUUUAGUGAUUCAGCAAAAAUGAGGAUGGCUUUGGUUAGACAAAAACAGUUCAAGUCUUCUUAUUAGUGCCAUUUCCACUGACUCUCAAAAACAUUGCUUUUAAAAUUGCCUUAAGAAGAAAAAUUAGACUGUUUUUUUUUUUUUUUUGAGGAAGAUCAGCCCUGAGCUAAUUACUGCCAGCCCUCCUCUUUUUGCUGAGGAAGCCUGGCCCUGAGCUAACAUCCGUGCCCAUCUUCCUCUACUUUGUAUGUGGGACGCCUACCACAGCAUGGUGUGCCAAGUGGUGCCAUGUCCACACCCGGGAUCUGAACCGGCGAACCCUGGGCUGCUGAAGUGGAACGUGCAAACUUAACAGCUGCGCCACCAGGCUGGCCCCCAAAAUUAGACUGUUUAUGAAAAUCCCUUUCAAGCUUAUGGUAGAAUCAUAGCAAAAGUGACUGUAGGGAGGACAUUUCCAGAAUGUCAAGAUCAUAAUUUGGUAUUUGGUCAGAUAUUGCCUUCCAGAUAAUACUCUCUGCCAGCUUUGAGGUUUCUGUGUUUUGGACUAACAAACUAUCAAAGUCAAUGUUUCUACACAUAAGAAUAAAGAAUGGAAUGGUUUUUCAAGCACCUUUCAGUUGAAACCUAGAUGCUUAGUCUGUUAACAUGGUGGUGUAUUUGCUGUUUGAGUUUUUUUCUUAUUUCAGGAAAUUAAUUUACUGAAAGCCAAGGUAACCCCAUUUCACUUCUCCCUAUCAAAACAGGUAAGCCCAGCUGUAAGACCGAUAUAAGGAGACAGGGUCAGACAACACUGGCAGGGUAGGCUUUCCAUGUGCACAAAAGAGUGUAAAUAUACCACUAAUGUAACCAACCUAAGUGGAAGUGAGGCACUUCAUUGGGGGGAUUUAUUGGAAAAUUAUAGUUUGAUUAUUCAUUCAUUCAACAAAUAUGUAUUGACCACUUACCAUGGUGACACAGCCUCUGACCUCACAAAGCUUGCAUUCUAACGGUGGAGACCAUCAAGUAAACAAGUGUAACCAGGAUAACAUUUUGAAAGUGCUAAACAGAUGUAGUUUUAAUUCCCAUUAAAUCACAAUAGCCUGAAGCUUGCCACCAUAUAUGCACACAGAUGGACCAUACAAUCCAAACUUGGGCUAAUAAGGCUUUGUUAUAAGGAUGAAUAAGAGCUGGGGGCUAAAUAGUGAUAGGCAGAAGUGCAAACAAGUUGAAAUCCUGGAUCCCAGUGAGAGCAUUUGAGGAACUGAAAGAAGUUCAGCUGGAAAUAAGUGGCUGGAAUCAAAAAGGAAGUGGCAAAAGAUGAGGAUGGAGAAGUGAGCCAAAGUACAUCAAGUAUGUCCAAUAAGCCUUAUUACCAUGUAUUUGAGGAAUGGAAAGGAGGCCCUUGUGACUGGAACUAUCUAAGUGGAAUAUUUAAAAUCAUCAUUAUAAGUGGUGACCAACUUGAACAUUAGAGUUCAAUUAGUCUAUCAACCUCGGGAACCAUGAUGUUGCUGUGAUCCAAUUUGGAUGAGCACCUUGUGUAAGCAAGAAAAAUGAAAAAGAAUUUGGGUGUUUGGUCAAGUUGCCGUCACAUCUGCACUGGAUAUAGGGGAGUGAUGGACUCUGCACAGCAUCCUAUGGGUGCACAUUCUCAAAUAUUCUAAGGUCUCAUUGUGACAAGAGUGGGCGUAGGCUCGGGUUCAGUAAACAGCAGCAGAAAGUCUUGUGAGGCAGCUCUGAUUCCUCUCCUCCCUGCCCUUACUAGGGGCAGCUUCCCCAGAGGAAUGGAAAUUAGCAUUCAUAAGAGGCUUUGUCUAUGUUCGCUGAAAGAGCUGUAGAGCCCUAUCAUGGGGUUGAAGGGAGGGUGAGACAGGCCUGUGGGGUGCUACAUAUGGUGGUUACUAUUUAACUAUAGGUAUCAGAGGGAUCCAGAGAGCUAGUCUAUAGCAUAUGUCUAAGAAAGAGUGCUAGGGAUCAAAACUAGAAAAAUCAAAUCAGUUAUGGGUCCAAGAGUCAAGCAAGAAUCCAGAAACAAGAUGAAGAGGAGAAAAAAGCUCAUGAGUGAAGGGGUCUAGGUCUGGAACUUUUGCAAUGAGCAGAGUAAUGACACUUGGGUUCUCCUUAGUUGGGCACCAGCUGUACUUGCAUGAAUAAGUCAGCCUCAGUUAAGACAUAGGGUCAUAGUAGACAUGUAAAGAAAUGAGGAACACUGCUGACAGAUGGACACUGGGAACUACUGUCAAAAGAAACCAAGAAAAACCACAGCUGAGUGUUCCAAGAUGAAAAUGGCUCCUGGAAGGGUAAAUAGAGGAUCAGGCUGGGAGAUCACAUGACUCAGUGGUCUCUAUUCAGCUUUCUCUGAAAUUCUGAAAGAAGUCAUUUUGGUAUAAGAGAAAGGAAUAGAGAUAGAGGCAAACUGGGAAACAGAGACUCCUGGCAGGGCCUUAGACCAACUAGUACACAAUUAUAACCUCUUCUUGGAUGCCUGGUAGAGACUAAGAGAAAAGAUGACUGCAUAAAUCUAAGAGAUGCGUGGCGUCCUUUGUCACUGGUUUUUGGUUUGCAAACGGGCAGAUGAGAAAUGAGAUUCCUUCAAUGGUGACCUAAUGGCCUUUCACAUCCUAGUCAGUUUUUAUUAAUAGAUUGCCCUUUAUGAUAAUAAAUUUUCCUUCUUUGUAAUUUUCCUUAUACCCAAGCAGAAAAUAUAUUUACACCAGAGUCGUUUCUUUCCUUUAGGGCCAGAAACUAUUUGGGGGAGUCUCUGGCAGGGUGUUUGUUUUUCUUAUUUUUUUUAUGGUCUACUAUACAAGUUAUACAUGGUGAUUUGAAUUCAGAUUAAAGCAAUCUAUGAAGUCAAGAGAAAUCUAUGAAGUUGUUAAAAUAGGGAACUAAAUAUCCCUGAGUCUGAGGUUUUGAAGUCAAUUGAAACACAAACACAUUAAGUAAUCCUGCACGUGUCCUUUGGCUCGGUCUAUUUCCUUCAAGUGUGUGGUUUAUCUUUGUGUAAAGAGACUUAAAAUAAAUUAUGCUUAAAAUAGUAUUAUAAAAAUGAUUUUAUAAUUAAAUUAUUGUAAUUAAAUUAAUUUAAAUUGGCUUAAAUCUUUGACAAAAUUGAAAAAUACAAACUUUAAGACACAUUAUAUUGAAGUAAAUAAGGUAGGAGGAAGACUACGUCCAUAGUUAGGCUAAAAGCAGUCAAUGAGCACAAAACUUAGAUGUGAGUUUCUUGAUUGUUAGAGCACAAAUAAAUCAUGUUGGAUUCUAUAUUUCUCAUGAUCUAACCUAAGGAAUUAUACCUUUGUAUCCAAAUGGACAUUUUGUUUUCCCCAACACUCUAGGAGAAAUUUAUCACAAAAAUCAUUAUAUAAGAGACCUUUAGCAAGAUGGUAGACAAUACAUUCAGUUCACAGUUGAGGAAAUGCAGAAACAGUCUUCAUGUGGUUAUUUCUUAUAACAACCCUUUCUACAAUAGGAGGUAAAAUGUUAAGUCUAAUUUGAGAAAGUAUGACUUUGUGAGAGUAAAUUAGUAAUGGGAUUUUUGUGCGUGUGUGAUCUGAUGGUGGCAGUGGUAAACUGUUGAGAAGCUGGGGCAAUGAGCUCCCCCUCAUGAUUCAGAUGUCCCAGAUGAGCUUGUGAGAAGAGGAGUAGAGAAGAAAAUUCAAAAGCAAGCCUGCUCCAGAAAUGGCAAGCAUCUGGGUUGUAAGUUGAUGGGAGAUCCUCAUGUAGCCACUACCUGUGUAGGAAGCAAGGUCAAAGUUGUUAGGCAAGUUAAAGAGCCUUUUGCAAACUCUUGCCCAGAUGAAAGUUCUACUUCGAUUUUCACAGAAGUGGAUUGUCAUGAAAACAAGGUUUGGGAAAAAUUAAUGCUUGUGGUUUCCACAUACUAAAUUGGCUACUGGCAUAUUAUUCAAAGAGAAUAUAAAGCAUUCAUUGACUAUCUGAAUAAAAAAACUGCUUAAACUCUCAUUUUCCAGCUCAUGUGGUGGGAUAUACUAUUGACACAGCUGUCUUAACCUAUGUGUGGCAAAAUAUUAGCUUACUAAAGACCAUUCCUCAUCACCAUUUUCCUUAGAGGAGUAUCAUGCAAAAAAAGAGAAGCCCAUGGUAGUCAAGACUGUGGCAAUACUAUACUCCCCAUCAACAGCCAGGUGCAGCUAGAAGAAAACUUCCAAGAAGAGGCAGCAGAGUCUAUAAGAAGAUGUUGAACCUGUGUUGGGCAGCUGGUCUCAGCAGGGCCUGUAAGACAAGCAUCAAUUGCCAACCCUCGGCAUGUGGUUUAUUAUCAGUGAGUGGCAGUAGAGAACUGACUGAGUGCCAAGAGAAGCUGGAACCUCCUCUUGCUCAGCCACAGCACAGACCAGCAUAACCGGACCAACGGCUGGGUGCUUGGGCUCCAGAAGGGGAGAUGCCUUGGCUGUUAGUUCUCUCUGCACCUCAGGAACCCAGGACAGAGAAUGAGUGAAGAAACCGAGGUCUUCCACAGUCAGAGGGCACGGGGAUGCUGGAGUACGCAUGGAAGGCUGGCAGGAGGUGAUGGGCCGGAGGGCUCCGGCAGGACCAGGCAACACCAGAUCUCUCUGAAAACAGAGGGGAGGAAUAAAACCAAAUGGACAAACAAACAAAAGAUGUCCCAGCUCAUUGCAAAAGAACAAGACGCUAUUUUAAAUACAAGCACAUUAAUAAAAAAAAUCUUGAUUCCAGAAAAGUUACACUGUCUUGCCUAAAAUCAUCUUGCCCUAUAGCCAAUGGUUUAGAGAAAUCAUGCUUUUCAAUGGGACCUCUAAAAAUAUAUACCAUUGUAUGGAUGGGAGAGUCUGUAAAGAGAAUUUAUACUAUAAUGAGUCAUUAUUUUAAAAAGCCCCAAUAUAUAAUCUGUGGCAUGUGUACAACAAAUGGUUAGAUUUCUUUUUGUUACUGAUAAAUUACUAAAAAGUCCAGCUUGUUCAAACAAAUGUUUUAUUGUUUUUACAAUUUUCCUCCUAAUUGAAAAACGGUCAAACAUUAAACAAUAUAUCUUCCACUGGGUGAAACAUAGUUGAACUUUAUUGUUUUUUGGCUGAGGAAGAUUGGCCCUGAGCUAACAUCUAUUGCCAAUCUUCCUCCUUUUGCUUGAGGAAGAUUCUCCUUGAACUAAUAUCUGUGUCAAUCUUCCUCUAUUUUGUAUGUGGGUCACUGCCACAGCAUGACUGAUGAACGGUUUAGGUCCAUGCCUGGGAACUGAAUCUAGGCUGCCGAAGCAGAGUGCGUUGAACUUAACAACUAGGCCACAGGGCCAGCCCCUUGAACUUUCUUUUUAAUCAACUCUACAACUGACACAGCUUGUCAUUGUUGAAUCCAUUUUUAGACACCCAGAAAUGGAUUCUUCCUGUGAGUGACAUCACACAGUUGGAUUGGAAGUUUCCUGUUCCAUCUCCAGAGGAGAUGACAGAGUGUGGCUUUAAGGAGAUACUGGGUGCAGACCUUGCCUCUUGGACUGAGAAGCCUUUCAGUGAGUCAGAAGAACAGGUAAUUGCAUUAAUCUUAUGUAAACCAGUCACCAGGAAACACUUGCUAUUUAUUCCACAAUCUAUUCUCCCUCUUUCAUCAUCACCAUUUGUGUUCCACCCAUACAGCAAAGCUCAUCUAAGAGAAAAAACAUUGCCAGCAGUAUUUACCUUCUGCUCAGCAUGAGAACAUUUGUCUUUGUGCAGUGAAUACGUCCAUUUAUAAGCAAACAGUAAUACUCUGGAAAGAAAAAUGAAGUAUGUUAAUAAACCAUUGUCCACACAAUAAAUACUGUUGUCUUUUCCUUAUAAAUGGGAUAUGGUUGACUCUGACACUGGACCAGACACUGGAAUUUGUUUUCCGUUAGUGAUGGUGGAUUUUCACAGAUACACCCACACUUGCUUGGCUCAUCGCUGGUGACCUUAGAACUAAUUUGAGACGCAGUUGGCAGGGGGUUAGGAAUGUAAGUCAGAC
ensembl:lncRNA